rnacentral:rRNA from 3 species
CUAAUCCUGGUCGGACAUCAGGAGGUUAGUGCAAUGGCAUAAGCCAGCUUGACUGCGAGCGUGACGGCGCGAGCAGGUGCGAAAGCAGGUCAUAGUGAUCCGGUGGUUCUGAAUGGAAGGGCCAUCGCUCAACGGAUAAAAGGUACUCCGGGGAUAACAGGCUGAUACCGCCCAAGAGUUCAUAUCGACGGCGGUGUUUGGCACCUCGAUGUCGGCUCAUCACAUCCUGGGGCUGAAGUAGGUCCCAAGGGUAUGGCUGUUCGCCAUUUAAAGUGGUACGCGAGCUGGGUUUAGAACGUCGUGAGACAGUUCGGUCCCUAUCUGCCGUGGGCGCUGGAGAACUGAGGGGGGCUGCUCCUAGUACGAGAGGACCGGAGUGGACGCAUCACUGGUGUUCGGGUUGUCAUGCCAAUGGCACUGCCCGGUAGCUAAAUGCGGAAGAGAUAAGUGCUGAAAGCAUCUAAGCACGAAACUUGCCCCGA